rnacentral:tRNA from 1 species
GUCUUCGUAGUAUAAUCAUUACACUGGUCUUGUAAACCAGAAAUGGAGAUUUACAACUCCCUAAGAUA